rnacentral:rRNA from 1 species
UAGGGAAUCUUCCGCAAUGGACGCAAGUCUGACGGAGCAACGCCGCGUGAGUGAAGAAGGAUUUCGGUUCGUAAAACUCUGUUGUUAGAGAAGAACAGCGCAUAGAGUAACUGUUAUGCGUGUGACGGUAUCUAACCAGAAAGCCACGGCUAACUACGUGCCAGCAGCCGCGGUAAUACGUAGGUGGCAAGCGUUGUCCGGAUUUAUUGGGCGUAAAGCGAGCGCAGGCGGUCAAUUAAGUCUGAUGUGAAAGCCCCCGGCUCAACCGGGGAGGGUCAUUGGAAACUGGUUGACUUGAGUGCAGAAGAGGAGAGUGGAAUUCCAUGUGUAGCGGUGAAAUGCGUAGAUAUAUGGAGGAACACCGGUGGCGAAAGCGGCUCUCUGGUCUGCAACUGACGCUGAGGCUCGAAAGCGUGGGGAGCGAACAGG